ensembl:lincRNA
GUGCUGCCGAUGGCUGUUUGGGCACUGGGAUCACUGAAGUUCUGCGUCAGCACCAUGGACAGCAGUCCCGGCCCCAGGCCGCAGGACCUAGGGGGUCCACAUCACUAAAGGAGAAUCAGCUGCCACUGGCUCCCUGAUUUUGGCACGGCUCAGGGGUGCCUGAGCUCCUUCUGCCACUCCACUGCCGACUUCUAAAUGGCCUGGAGCAAGAAUUCCAAACUUCAAAACUAAGCAGUCUCUGAAGAAUGGAGAUGGCAGGCGUUCUGCUCCCUUACAGCAGCUGGUAGAAUCAAGACCCAUGUGUCCGUGGAGGAAAAGGGGAAGAGCCUCUGUCCUUUGCCCUGUGGGCUCCAUGGACAUCUCAUGUGCCUGGGAGGCUGCUCUCCUUGUCUUGUGGAUCCAGUUCUUGGCAGCCCCACUCUCAGGAGCACAGGAGUCCUGAGAGCCUCCUUCUGCCCAUCCAGAUGCCCACACACCUGACCACGAGUGCACUGCUUGUUCUGACAUAAAAAAUGUGAG